CACGUAGGGCGCAAGCGUUGUCCGGAAUUAUUGGGCGUAAAGCGCGUGUAGGCGGCUUUGCAAGUCGGGUGUGAAAGCCCUCAGCUCAACUGAGGAAGUGCGCCCGAAACUGCAGAGCUUGAGUACCGGAGAGGAUGGCGGAAUUCCCCAAGUAGAGGUGAAAUUCGUAGAUAUGGGGAGGAACACCGGUGGCGAAGGCGGCCAUCUGGACGGAUACUGACGCUGAGACGCGAAAGCGUGGGGAGCAAACAGG
rnacentral:rRNA from 1 species